GAACCAACUGAAAUGCCCAGGAAUUAACGCGUGGGUAAAGAAUCUGUGAAAUAUAUAUAUGUUGGAAUACUACUCAGUAACAAAAAGGAAUGAAUUAACAGCAUUUGCAAUGUCCUGGAUGAGAUUGGAGACUAUUAUUCUAAGAAUGGUAAACCAAAUAUCGUAUGUUCUCACUGAUAUGUGGGAGGUAUGCUAUGAGGAUGCAAAGACAUAAGAAUAAUACAAUGGACUUUGGGUACUUGCGGGGAAGAGUGAAAGGGGAAGGGAUAAAAUACAGCAUAUAUGGUGCAGUGUAUACUGCUUGGGUGAUGGAUGCACCAGGAUCUCACAAAUCACCACUAAAGAACUUACUCAACUAACCAAAUACCACCUGUACAUAAGUAACUUAUGGAACAAUAAAAUUUUAAAAAAGUAUUUUUAUAAUUACAGACAGGCUCACAUAAUGAAUUCUUCAUAAACUAUUACACAGGCCAGCCGGGCCUGGUACCUCAUGCCUGUAAUCCCAGCACUUUGGGAGGCCGAGGUGAGUGGAUCACCUGAGGUCAAGAGUUGGAGACCAGUUUGACCAACAUGGUGAAACCCUGUCUCUACUAAAAAUACAAAAAUUAGUCCAGGCGAGGCGGCUCACGCCUGUAAUCCAGCACUUUG
rnacentral:lncRNA from 1 species